UCUAGAACUCGAGAUAUGGGCUAAACACUGAAUAAUAUCUGGGUUGCAAGACAAAUUCCGACUUCUCUGUUGUUGCUACCAUUUGAACUAAAAAAUGGCACUUUUAAAUCUUAGAUUCUUCAUGAAAGUUUUAGACCUAUGUUUUAGCUUUCCAUA
rfam:Populus trichocarpa scaffold_18_contig_196, whole genome shotgun sequence.